rnacentral:rRNA from 1 species
GAUGAACGCUAGCGGGAGGCCUAACACAUGCAAGCCGAGCGGUAGAGUCUCUUCGGAGACUUGAGAGCGGCGCACGGGUGCGGAACACGUGUGCAACCUGCCUUUAUCUGGGGGAUAGCCUUUCGAAAGGAAGAUUAAUACCCCAUAAUAUACUGGAUGGCAUCAUCUGGUAUUGAAAACUCCGGUGGAUAGAGAUGGGCACGCGCAAGAUUAGAUAGUUGGUGAGGUAACGGCUCACCAAGUCAGCGAUCUUUAGGGGGCCUGAGAGGGUGAUCCCCCACACUGGUACUGAGACACGGACCAGACUCCUACGGGAGGCAGCAGUGAGGAAUAGUGGACAAUGGGUGAGAGCCUGAUCCAGCCAUCCCGCGUGAAGGACGACGGCCCUAUGGGUUGUAAACUUCUUUUGUAUAGGGAUAAACCUAGAUACGUGUAUCUAGCUGAAGGUACUAUACGAAUAAGCACCGGCUAACUCCGUG